AGUGUUUUAAUUGGCUAUCCUCGGAGUGCAAAUUUGCUCUCUCUCACAGUAGGCUUUACAUCAGUCCGUCUCUCUUUGGUUCGGACCGCCCACGCCACCCAGUCCUCAGGGGUGAAUGUUCCGUCUAUGUUAUAAUAAUAUGCUACGCUAUGCUAGUGAUUAUAUUAUGGUUAUCAUUAUUUUGUCAUGGGAUGUAAGUAUUUUACGGGAUAAUAUUAUAAUAGAGAGAUUAUUACGACAGCAGGUCAUAGGAAUACUUAGGCCUAGAUCGAAAUGCGAACGAGAAAGGUAUGGAAACUACGAAUUAAAGACCAAUAGUAAAAAAAUAGUCCAGGAACGAUGGCGCCUAA